UACAGAGGGGGCAAGCGUUGUUCGGAAUUACUGGGCGUAAAGGGCGCGUAGGCGGCCAACUAAGUCGGACGUGAAAUCCCCGGGCUCAACCCGGGAACUGCGUCCGAUACUGGAUGGCUUGAAUCCGGGAGAGGGAUGUGGAAUUCCAGGUGUAGCGGUGAAAUGCGUAGAUAUCUGGAGGAACACCGGUGGCGAAGGCGGCGAUCUGGGUCGAUACUGACGCUGAGGUGCGAAAGCGUGGGGAGCAAACAGG
rnacentral:rRNA from 1 species